CACGUAGGAGACAAGCGUUAUCCGGAUUUAUUGGGCGUAAAGGGCAUGUAGGCGGGCUCUUAAGUCGGAUGUGAAAUCUCUUGGCUUAACCGGGAGGGGUCAUUCGAUACUGGGAGUCUUGAGGGCAGGAGAGGGAAGUAGAAUUCCCGGUGUAGUGGUGGAAUACGUAGAUAUCGGGAGGAAUACCAGUGGCGAAAGCGGCUUCCUGGCCUGUGCCUGACGCUGAUAUGCGAAAGCGUGGGUAGCAAACGGG
rnacentral:rRNA from 2 species